GACGAACGCUGGCGGCGUGCUUAACACAUGCAAGUCGAGCGAGGGAAAUUCCUUCGGGAAGGACUCUAGCGGCGGACGGGUGAGUAACACGUGGGUAACCUGCCUCAUAGAGGGGAAUAGCCUUUCGAAAGGAAGAUUAAUACCGCAUAAGAUUGUAGUAUCGCAUGAUGCAGCAAUUAAAGGAGUAAUCCGCUAUGAGAUGGACCCGCGUCGCAUUAGCUAGUUGGUGAGGUAACGGCUCACCAAGGCGACGAUGCGUAGCCGACCUGAGAGGGUGAUCGGCCACAUUGGGACUGAGACACGGCCCAGACUCCUACGGGAGGCAGCAGUGGGGAAUAUUGCACAAUGGGGGAAACCCUGAUGCAGCAACGCCGCGUGAGUGAUGACGGUCUUCGGAUUGUAAAACUCUGUCUUCAGGGACGAUUAUGACGGUACCUGAGGAGGAAGCCGCGGCUAACUACGUGCCAGCCGCCGCCGUAA
rnacentral:rRNA from 1 species